CCUACGGGAGGCAGCAGUGGGGAAUAUUGCACAAUGGGGGAAACCCUGAUGCAGCAACGCCGCGUGAGUGAAGAAGUAUUUCGGUAUGUAAAGCUGUAUCAGCAGGGAAGAAGAUGACGGUACCUGAGUAAGAAGCCCCGGCUAACUACGUGCCAGCAGCCGCGGUAAUACGGAGGGGGCAAGCGUUAUCCGGAUUUACGGGGUGUAAAGGGAGCGAAGACGGGGCGCCAAGGCUGGAGUGAAAUGCGGGAGCUUAACUGCGGAACUGGUUUGGAUACUGGCGAACUAGAGUGCGGGAGGGGUAAGCGGAAUUCCUAGUGUAGCGGGGAAAUGCGUAGAUAUUAGGAGGAACACCGGUGGCGAAGGCGGCUUACUGGACCGUAACUGACGUUGAGGAUCGAAAGCGUGGGGAGCAAACAGGAUUAGAUACCCCGGUAGUC
rnacentral:rRNA from 1 species